UUGUAUGUAGUUUUGAACCACUCUAAUGUACAUACAUAUAUACAUACAUACAUAUGUAUAUAUAUGUAUAUCUACCAUAUAUAUUUAUAUAUGUAUAUAAAUAUGUUCACAUGUAUUUUUGACAGUUUUUCUUUCUUCCGAUGUCGGCAACUAAUGUCCAUGUAAGCACAGUUUGCGAAUCAAGCAGGAAUAAGGAAUAAUAUGUAGUUUCUUAAGCAUACAAACAGCCAAUAAGAAGUGCCACAGCUGCCUUAGCGCAUCUAAAAGGCAACAGUUUUCAUGAAUCAAAGAACGACACGACAAACAUUGCAUUUAGAAAAAAUACAUACAUAUAGGCAUACAUAUAUAUGUACAUAUGUACGUAUGUACGUACAUGUCAUAUGCAUCAAUUUGUAACCAUGUGCAUAUAUUUUUAUCUAUCCCGAAAAAAGAGCCUUUUAAGAUAACAUUUACAAGAAAUGAGUCAGAUUUUUUUUUCAACGUAUAUCUUUAUUUAAAAAAUUUCGAACACAAAGCCUCAACUGUAUAACUAGUAAGCGUAAAUAAAUUGUUAAAAUUGAUUUAGAUGUAAUAUGUUCAACAUGAGUUGAACCAAAAAAAAAACGCUAUGGGAACCAUAUGAAACAAAUAUAAAUAUCAUAACAAAAAUG